rnacentral:lncRNA from 1 species
UCCCCUGGAGGAGGGCAUGGCAACCCACCCCAGUAUUCUUGCCUGGAAAACCCCAUGAACAGAGGAGACGGGAGGGCUAGAGUCCAUAAGGUCACAAAGAGUCAGACACGACUGAAGCGACUUAUUAAUAGUAUGUAUGCAAUCUAUUGUCGCUGACUGGGCCUCAUCCAUGCCUGUGGAAGAAAAGAGAUAAAUCAGAGCUGGCCUCUGCUUUCAAGGAUCUCCAUUAUGGCACAGAAUUGGUCAUUUGUUUUACCCGGGGUAUCUGUUUUCUGAGGGCUGGAACCCAGCCUUGGCCAUCUGUGUCUUCUCCAGUUGGCACAGCCCUAGGCACAAGGUAGAUACCAAUGAGUUUUCAAAAUGAAUAAUGACAAAGUGUCUCAAAAGGGUGGGAAGUGUUGAACACAACCUCUGCUAACUCUGUGUUGCCCAGACCAAAAGACAGCCAUGUGGCUCAGAGGUUCCCAAGGAAGUGCCUGGACUGGUCCCUUCUAGGACAGGGCUGUCACGACUCUGGAAACCCCCUUGGCCCUGGGCCUGGGACCAAAAAUCCAGACCCACAGAGAAGUCCCCGAGUCAGGCCCUACCACCCAGUUCCCACGGAGGGGACCAAGGCAGAGGCAGGAGCUGGGGGCACGCUGGGGGCACUCUGGGGGAGCUCUCAUCUGGAGUCCCAGCCUCCGUCGGGUCAGAGUUCCCUAAAGGCGGGUGAGAAGCGAGGAGGGCAGGGCUGGAGUUGGCAGGAGCCCAGGGGAGGAAGGAAACAAGAAACAAUCAAGGAAAAAUCCAUCCCAGUCCGGGGGUUGGCUCAGGCCAUAGGGCCCUGCAGGCUGACCUCCGGCCGCCACAGAGGAGGCUUCGUAGGGGCGGAUGCAGCCUGUCCCACUCCCUGCUUCCAGUAGCAGGAGAUGGGGGUGAGGGGAGCUGAGGCCCUUUCGGGGACCUUGUUUCCUCUCUCUGCCCCCUUGAUGUCCCUUCCCCUGUGAUGCCCUGUCCCCAGACCUGUCCCCAGGCUCCUGGUCCCCCUUGUUCCACCUGCCUCCCUAGGUCCCCGGUGGGAGGGGCCGAGGAGAGCUGGCUCCAGCCUGGGAGUCUUACCCUCCGGCUCGGUUCCUCCAUCAUUCUCCCCAGAUGAUCUUGGAGAAGGGGGCCUCCAACUCUAUCCCCCAGGGCCCUCAGGGGCUGGGGCUGCUGACACUGGUGAUUUCCAGGAAGAAGACGCCGGGAGGGGAAGGAAGGGCUGAGUCAGUCCCUGUGUGGCGAUUACAGGUCCUUGGGUGGGGGAAGCAGCUG